ensembl:antisense 1700105P06Rik RIKEN cDNA 1700105P06 gene
GGACCGGACAGGGAAGGGCCCUCUGGGGCUGCAGAUGCCGGCCCAGGGAAGCGCCUGGGGACCGGGAACCGGGGACCGGGACCUGGAGAUCUAGUCCCGGACCACCAAGCGGAAGUGAGGUGUCCCCCCCCUCACCUCGGAGCAUCGGCUCGGGCCGCGGGAUCACGGCCACCACCACGGCCUCGUCGUCAUCAUCCCCUUCCUCACACUUGAGCGUCACCUCGAAGCAAUCCAGAGCCGCGGCGCCCUUGGCUUUCAGGGCCAUGGCGAGGCGAAGAAGGGCGACCGGAUAGCCGAGGACGUUCGCACAGACCUCGGCGCACCGCCUGUGGCGGCCGCCUCCUGCCCCGGACCACCCCGGGCCCGCGGCUCGCCUAGCUCACCCGCCGCUCGCCCGGCCGCCCCGCCAGCCACGGGCUUCAACGCGUCACGACCCCGGGCGGGGAGGGUUCGAUCCGGGGCCCCCAACCCCGCCGCUCCCUUUUAUGGAGGCUCAUUGUCAGCGUCCGUCCGGCAGUCCCGCCUCCAGACCAGGCUGGCCAAUCACGUGAGGACACGCCCCCUAGCCCCGCCCCAGCCACAGGUCUGGGCCAGAACCCUGUGCAGCGCGUUUGUCUCUGGCCGGUUUGCUCGGCGGCGAAGCCUGGAGUUUUCCUGGGAGCGGCGCCGGCAGCCUUGGAGACCCGGUAGGGCAUCCCCACCAAUGGCUGGAGGAAAGGGCUGCUCGGCAUCUUACUUCUUGGCUUUCCCCUGACUAGCUGCCUGCCUGGGAGGCAACACAGACGAGAAAAGACCGGUGGGGAUGUGUGAAGGAUACAUAGGCUCAGAAGUGUGGAGACAUCUCUUCUAAUUUCUUUGGGCCUCGUUCCUUUCUACUAGCACAUACGCUUUAGGGAAAGAAAAAUCACUUUGGAUCCUCCUAAACAAAGAUUCUAGAAGAUGAAGAGGACAAGAGUGGCGUGUGGGCGUGUGUAAACCGCUUCCGAUGGAUAUAAUUUACGUUAAAAACAAAACAAAACAAAAAACGUGAGUCCAGAGAGUGUGGCCUUUUCCCAGGACACAGCAAAUCCCCUGAGAGCCUCCAAGACCGGGAUCCGGUUGCUAUGGCGCUGCUGCCUGGCAUUCGUGCCUGAGUGAAGACUGUCACAAUGGGCACUUACACUUCUGCAUAACAUCCCCUCCCCACACACAUACACACACCAGACACGCUAGAUUUCAGCUGAGAAACGGCAAAAAUGUCUGGCACUCAAAAUUCUGAUUUUAAGUGCUACCAACAGUAAUUAUCAGCCCAGAAACAGUAAUUGUGGAUGAUGUAGGAGGCUAGGGGACAGAAGAGAAACAGUUCACUUACCGUAUAUUGUGUGUGUGUGUGUGUGUGUGUGUGUGUGUGUUUGUGUGUGCGCGCGCGCCCUGGGCAUACCCACCCCCCCCCCAUCCACUGCAUAACCAGCUUUUAUUUUGUUGAGAUAAGGACUCACUUUCAUGUCAGUCUGACCUGGAAUCUGUGUAACCCUGCUUGCCCCAAACCUUUUCCUCCUCCCUCCAUUCCCCUGGCACAAGGAUUAAAGGUCUGAGCUGACACCACAUACAGCAGCCACAAUAGAAAGAACUGAGGAAAUUUCUAUUACUUUGAAAUGUACCCAGUACUAAAAAGAUACUCCAAAUCAAGCAAUUUCCUAGGCCUGGAUAGUUCUUACCUAAAGGCUGUUCUUUGCUUUUUGCCCAAUGCCUCUGGGUAGGUAGUCUGUUCUGUUUUUGCA